GGUCUUGUGGUCUAGUGGUAUGAUUCUCGCUUAGGGUGCGAGAGGCCCCGGGUUCAACUCCCGGCAAGACCC
rnacentral:tRNA from 1 species